GUCCAGACUCCUACGGGAGGCAGCAGUGAGGAAUAUUGGUCAAUGGGCUAAGGCCUGAACCAGCCAAGUCGCGUGAGGGAAGACGGUCCUAUGGAUUGUAAACCUCUUUUGUCGGGGAGCAACGAGGCCACGUGUGGCCGAAGUGAGAGUACCCGAAGAAAAAGCAUCGGCUAACUCCAUGCCAGCAGCCGCGGUAAUACGGAGGAUGCGAGCGUUAUCCGGAUUUAUUGGGUGUAAAGGGAGCGUAGGCGGCGAUGCAAGUCAGAAGUGAAAGCCCGGGGCUCAACUCCGGGACUGCUUUUGAAACUGUGUUGCUAGAUUGCAGGAGAGGUAAGUGGAAUUCCUAGUGUAGCGGUGAAAUGCGUAGAUAUUAGGAGGAACACCAGUGGCGAAGGCGACUUUCUGGACUGUACCUGACGCUGAGGCGCGAAAGCGUGGGUAGCGAACGGGAUUAGAUACCCGCGUAGC
rnacentral:rRNA from 1 species